GGCGGACGGGUUAGUAACGCGUGGGAACGUGCCCUUCUCUACGGAAUAGCCUCUGGAAACGGAGAGUAAUACCGUAUACGCCCUUUGGGGGAAAGAUUUAUCGGAGAAGGAUCGGCCCGCGUUAGAUUAGGUAGUUGGUGGGGUAACGGCCUACCAAGCCUACGAUCUAUAGCUGGUUUUAGAGGAUGAUCAGCAACACUGGGACUGAGACACGGCCCAGACUCCUACGGGAGGCAGCAGUGGGGAAUCUUAGACAAUGGGGGCAACCCUGAUCUAGCCAUGCCGCGUGAGUGAUGAAGGCCUUAGGGUCGUAAAGCUCUUUCGCCUGUGAUGAUAAUGACAGUAGCAGGUAAAGAAACCCCGGCUAACUCCGUGCCAGCAGCCGCGGUAAUACGGAGGGGGUUAGCGUUGUUCGGAAUUACUGGGCGUAAAGCGCGC
rnacentral:rRNA from 1 species